GACGAACGCUGGCGGCGCGCUUAACACAUGCAAGUCGAACGGAAAGGCCUGCUUUCCCUUGUGGAUUGCGGGUACUCGAGUGGCGAACGGGUGAGUAACACGUGAGUGAUCUGCCCCCAACUUGGGUAUAAGCCUGGGAAACUGGGUCUAAUUCCCGAUAGGACUGCAGGGUGGUGCCUGUGGUGGAAAACGAUUUUCUAGUGGUUGGGGAUGAGCUCGCGGCCUAUCAGCUUGUUGGUGGGGUAAUGGCCUACCAAGGCGGCGACGGGUAGCCGGCCUGGGAGGGUGGACGGCCACAUUGGGACUGAGAUACGGCCCAGACUCCUACGGGAGGCAGCAGUGGGGAAUAUUGGACAAUGGGCGGAAGCCUGAUGCAGCGACGGCGCGUGGGGGAUGACGGCCUUCGGGUUGUAAACUCCUUUCGACCGCGAGGAAGCCACCUGGUUGGAAGGGUGGUGACGGUAGUGGUAGAAGAAGCACCGGCUAACUACGU
rnacentral:rRNA from 1 species